rnacentral:rRNA from 1 species
UACGAAGGGGGCUAGCGUUGUUCGGAAUUACUGGGCGUAAAGAGCUCGUAGGCGGCUUGGCAAGUCGGGUGUGAAACCUCCAGGCUCAACCUGGAGACGCCACUCGAUACUGCUAUGGCUAGAGUCCGGUAGGGGACCACGGAAUUCCUGGUGUAGCGGUGAAAUGCGCAGAUAUCAGGAGGAACACCGGUGGCGAAGGCGGUGGUCUGGGCCGGCACUGACGCUGAGGAGCGAAAGCGUGGGUAGCAAACAGG